GCCAAUAAGCGUUUGAGAGAUGGAGGAACACAGUAGGAUAAGCUAACCGUACUGUUGGUUAUGUACGGCUAAGCAUUGAGGCAGUCUAAAUAGGCAAAUCCGUUUAGACAAUGCUAGGAUGUGAUGGGGAAGCCCUUCGGGGCGAAGUAGCUGAUUUCACACUGUCAAGAAAAGCUUCUAUCGAGUUUAAAGGCGCCCGUACCGUAAACCGACACAGGUGGGUGAGGAGAGUAUCCUAAGGCCAGCGAGAGAACUAUUGUUAAGGAACUCGGCAAAAUGACCCCGUAACUUAGGGAGAAGGGGUGCCUGUCUAUGACAGGCCGCAGAGAAUAGGCCCAAGCGACUGUUUACCAAAAACACAGGUUUCUGCUAAGUCGCAAGACGAUGUAUAGGAGCUGACGCCUGCCCGGUGCUGGAAGGUUAAGGGGAUCUGUUAGAGCAAUCGAAGCAGUGAACUUAAGCCCCAGUAAACGGCGGCCGUAACUAUAACGGUCCUAAGGUAGCGAAAUUCCUUGUCGGGUAAGUUCCGACCCGCACGAAAGGCGUAACGAUUUGGGCACUGUCUCAACAAUAGACUCGGUGAAAUUGUAAUCCCGGUGAAGAUGCCGGGUACCUGCGACAGGACGGAAAGACCCCAUGGAGCUUUACUGUAGCUUGACGUUGGGUCUUGGUACUACAUGUACAGGAUAGGUGGGAGACUAUGAAGCAUGGACGCCAGUCUGUGUGGAGUCAUCCUUGGGAUACCACCCUUGUAGUACUGGGAUCCUAACCAUAGGCCUUGAAUCAGGUCUUGGAACACCGUCAGGUGGGCAGUUUGACUGGGGCGGUCGCCUCCUAAAAAGUAACGGAGGCGCUCAAAGGUUUCCUCAGCACGGUCGGAAAUCGUGCGAAGAGUGUAAAGGCAAAAGGAAGCUUGAUUGCAAGACAUACAGGUCGAGCAAGGACGAAAGUCGGACUUAGUGAUC
rnacentral:rRNA from 1 species